rnacentral:rRNA from 1 species
UACCGUGAGGGAAAGGUGAAAAGAACCCCGGGAGGGGAGUGAAAUAGAACCUGAAACCCUGCACUUACAAGCUGUGGAAGCACAUUUCUUGUGUGACCGCGUACUUUUUGUAGAACGGGCCAACGAGUUACGUUAAGUAGCAAGGUUAAGCACUUAAGGUGCGGAGCCGUAGCGAAAGCGAGUUUUAACUGAGCGUUCAGUUACUUGACGUAGACCCGAAACCGGGCGACCUACCCAUGAGCAGGAUGAAGCGAAAGUAAAAUUUCGUGGAGGUCCGAACCCACGAGCGUUGAAAAGCUCGGGGAUGACUUGUGGGUAGCGGUGAAAUUCCAAUCGAGCCCGGAGAUAGCUGGUUCUCCCCGAAAUAGCUUUAGGGCUAGCCUCAAGGUGAGAGAUACGGAGGUAGAGCACUGAAUGUCCUAGGGGGUAUUGCACCUACCGAAGACUAUCAAACUCCGAAUGCCGUCAUCUUAUACUUGGGAGUCAGACUGUGGGUGAUAAGAUUCAUAGUCGAAAGGGCAACAGCCCAGAUCGUCAGCUAAGGUCCCUAAAUGUAAGUUAAGUGGUAAAGGAUGUGGGAUUGCACAGACAACCAGGAUGUUGGCUUAGAAGCAGCCACUCAUUCAAAGAGUGCGUAAUAGCUCACUGGUCGAGUGAUCCUGCGCCGAAGAUUUCCGGGGCUAAAACUUACUACCGAAGCUACGGCAUCAGUAAUGAUGGGUAGGGGAGCUUCCCAUACGGGUUGAAGCAUGACCGUAAGGACAUGUGGACAGUAUGGGAGUGAGAAUGUUGGCAUGAGUAGCGAGAUGUGGGUG